GUUGACCUCGGAUCAGGUAGGGAUACCCGCUGAACUUAAGCAUAUCAAUAAGCGGAGGAAAAGAAACCAACAGGGAUUGCUCUAGUAACGGCGAGUGAAGCAGCAAUAGCUCAAAUUUGAAAUCUGGCGUCUUCGACGUCCGAGUUGUAAUUUGUAGAGGAUGCUUCUGAGUGGCCACCGACCUAAGUUCCUUGGAACAGGACGUCAUAGAGGGUGAGAAUCCCGUAAUGCGGUCG
rnacentral:rRNA from 1 species